GCCCACCAUGUUCAUAGCUCAGUUGGUAGAGCAUGAGACUCUUAAUCUCAGGGUCAUGGGUUUGAGCCCCACAUUGGGCA
rnacentral:tRNA from 1 species